rnacentral:rRNA from 1 species
CCUACGGGUGGCAGCAGUAGGGAAUUUUCGUCAAUGGGCGCAAGCCUGAACGAGCAAUGCCGCGUGAACGAGGAAGGUCUUCGGAUCGUAAAGUUCUGUUGAAGGGGAAAAAGAGCGGAGAGAGGAAAUGAACUCCGAUUGAUAUUACCCUUCGAGGAAGUCACGGCUAACUACGUGCCAGCAGCCGCGGUAAUACGUAGGUGGCGAGCGUUAUCCGGAAUGAUUGGGCGUAAAGGGUGCGUAGGCGGAACAUUAAGUCAGCGGUAAAAUCGAGGGGCUCAACCCCUUUAAGCCGUUGAAACUGGUGAUCUUGAGUGGGCGAGAAGUAUGCGGAAUGCGUGGUGUAGCGGUGAAAUGCAUAGAUAUCACGCAGAACUCCGAUUGCGAAGGCAGCAUACCGGCGCCCGACUGACGCUGAGGCACGAAAGCGUGGGGAUCGAACAGGAUUAGAUACCCUUGUAGUC